UCCAGCCUCUCCUCUACAUCUCUGUUAGCAAUCUGUGCCUGCUGUCUGCCUCUGACCUGAUUUUGCAAUGCAUUUUGCUCCUCCCAGUUAAGUAACAAUCCCAUGUGAUGUAGCCAUUACCGAAUAAAGUUGAACAUAUAUCUGCUUUGAUAUCUGGUUUGCUGCUGGAUUGUGGAUCUCUUCCAGUCUGCAGCAAAACUUUCAGCAUAAGGAUCACGGUCAGAGGACUGCACAGCUCAUCCUCCUUGCUGUUCCCACAUCUCCUUCUCUACAGCCAGAAACAUACAGUCUAGGGAGAAUCUACAGGUAACGGACGGGAUCUCACAGGUCUAACUAAAAAUGGAUUUUCAAAUGAACAUCGUACAUUCACACCUCCUUGGGCACCGCUGCAUGGAUGUAUGUGCAUAAAAGAAAAAAAGAAAGAACACAUCUACAGGCAUAAAUGUGACACAAUGUAUGGGGAAAUAUACAAUGUCACCUUCUAGCAUCCUUUUCUUACAGACGAAUACACUAUUUUAAACACUGAGUAUAUAUGACAAUUAUUGUGACCUGCACAGCCAUGAAAGAUAAGCUUAUUAUUCUUUCUGCAGAUCACACAUAAAUCAUCUGGUGAACUGGUCGUAGUAUACCACAGCCAACUGUGUACUCACGUGUUACACUAUUGCACUAUUCCACUUUCCUGUUGCAUUUAAAUAACAGUAUUCAUCAUCCCCUUUUGGAGCCUGCAAUAAACAGUAGAUGUGUGAAUAUGGAUUUUAAAAACGUGACAGCAAAAUUACCAACAGUGGAAUUUUAAUCUAAGAUUGCACUUGCAGAUAUCUGCAGUUUUUUUCACUUUUGUUCCAAUGAGGGCCACAGCGGACACUCCUUCUUCUCUGUUAUAUGACAAUGACCUUAAGGAACUAACAAGACAGAACGUAACAGAAGACAUGGAGCUGGAGCUUCUGGAUAAUGCCUUGUCCUCCACACUUGUUUUGGUGGUGGUGCUAAUUAUCAUCUUCACCUUGGUGGUGACAUCUCUGCUGACUUACUGCUUCCACAAAUGGAAACUCAAAGCCAAAAAAUUCCAGAGGGUACAGGAGGAGUAUCAAAGAGACCAAGAGAAAGUCAUGUCAUCAUGCAACUCUUGACUUCCAAUGCAGCUACAGUCCUGCAAUAACUGAGAUUUAGCAGAGUGCACUCAAGUAAAAACAUUGCUUCAACCUAAAAAGCUUAGUUUGAGCACUCAGACCAAUACCUAUGUAUUAAUGGAUCAUUCUCCAGCAGCUGUACCACAUUUUUAGAAACACGUAUAUGUAAUACAUGCAUAAGAUCAUGAUAUGGAAUAGCAUUCUGCCUUCAUACGAUGCUCUGUAGAGUAUUUAUACUAUGAACUACAAGAUGUCAGUGUCUUGUUGCAAUGCACUUUUUAUGUGUAAAAUAGAACACCACUAAGUCAGACCCACAAAUGUGCUACUGGAUUAUCACAGGUGUGAGUGUAGCAGAUUAGCAUAGUUCAAAAAUGAAAAACACAUGGCAUGAGGUAGGUUGCAGUGGGGCAAUCUGAAACUUGUCACCUGAAAGUUGGUGGCUGAAUAUGAGAAAAGCCUGUUUAGAAAUGAGUAUAUUUCUUAUACAAAUACUGAAUAAGGCUAAAUAAUAUUUAUUCUUUCAUACAAAAUUGCCAAGAUUUUGUAAAUAAUUUAAAUGUGCAUUAUAUUGUUUUUGUAUAUCAUGUUAAUUUAUCUUGUUUUAAUCGUUUACUAGAAUUAGCCUAUUAAGAUAAGAAUAUAACAUACAUUGCUGUUUGUAAGCAGUGCCAAAUUAUUGUCUGUGCCAAUUAAACAGGCAGACCUAGUCCUUCUAAUUGCGGUCAGCCCGUGUUGACUGCCAGUGCGACUCCUUUUAUGGAAAGAUACAUUUCAUACAAUAACUGCAGUUUAAUUAAUAAUUUUAAAUAGAAUGUAGCGCUUUUAUUUAUUUUUGCUGACACUAGCCAAUUAGUCUUUGUUGGCCUUAGACAUGGUAUUAUAGUGCUUUUGUGUGAAAUAAAUACAGUAUACAGGAACAUACUCUUUUUUCAGAAUCCUAUAUGUAGUACUACUAUCUGUAUUUAGUAUUAAGUACAUUAUUUAUGUAUACUGAAAUCCAAUUUUAUGUCACAUUUAAUCUAUUUCAUGUAAUCGUAAACAAUGAACAGUUUAUGCUUUAUCCUCUAUACCUGGCUGUCAAACAUGGUAAGUAAUGGGAAAAAUGAAUCUCCAAUACCAAUGUAAUUCCUCCUAAUCAGAUUUAGCAGACAUUAGGGAUCAGGGUGAGGCAGCAUAAAUACAUAUAUGUAUGUAAAUUUCUCAUGCACUCAUUUAUCUGCAGCCAGAUGGCUCCAAUCACUUUGCCAGGUAGAUGUAAUUCACACAUGGUGGCUUUUUAUACAAUCUAAUUUCAUAACAAAUCUCAUUAUCCUCAACCAGCUUUAUCUGAUUCAGUCAAUAAACACUAUUUUUAUUAUUAAAA